rnacentral:rRNA from 1 species
AACGAACGCUGGCGGCAGGCCUAACACAUGCAAGUCGAGCGCCCUUUCGGGGGAGCGGCGGACGGGUGAGUAACGCGUGGGAAUAUGCCCUUCUCUACGGAAUAGCCUCGGGAAACUGAGAGUAAUACCGUAUACGCCCUUAGGGGGAAAGAUUUAUCGGGGGAGGAUUAGCCCGCGUUGGAUUAGGUAGUUGGUGGGGUAAUGGCCUACCAAGCCGACGAUCCAUAGCUGGUUUGAGAGGAUGAUCAGCCACACUGGGACUGAGACACGGCCCAGACUCCUACGGGAGGCAGCAGUGGGGAAUCUUAGACAAUGGGGGCAACCCUGAUCUAGCCAUGCCGCGUGAGUGAUGAAGGCCUUAGGGUUGUAAAGCUCUUUCAGCUGGGAAGAUAAUGACGGUACCAGCAGAAGAAGCCCCGGCUAACUACGUGCCAGCCGCCGCGGUAA